UACGUAGGGCGCAAGCGUUAUCCGGAAUUAUUGGGCGUAAAGAGCUCGUAGGCGGGUUGUCGCGUCUGCCGUGAAAUUCCAGGGCUUAACACCGGAUCUGCGGGGGGUACGGGCAGACUAGAGUGCAGUAGGGGAGACUGGAAUUCCUGGUGUAGCGGUGAAAUGCGCAGAUAUCAGGAGGAACACCGAUGGCGAAGGCAGGUCUCUGGGGUGUAACUGACGCUGAGGAGCGAAAGCCUGGGGAGCGAACAGG
rnacentral:rRNA from 1 species